UAGAAUGGGGUUUCAUGAUGGGCAACGGAGAGGCUGAGCUGCCUUCUGCAUGGUUGAAUCUGAGAAAGCUUUACACAGCACUAGUAUCGUUAGUUUUCCAGGCAGAAGGAAUGGUAUAUAUGGAGUCAUGUGAAACCAGGUGUGUUAGAGAACUACAGAUGGUUCCAUAUUGUGAGCUGAAAUUUUCAUAUGGGGCAGGGUGGCAGUGAGGCCAGAUGACUGACCACCCUAGUGGCCUAAUAUGAAUUGCAAUUCUUUGGUCUCUUGUAGCCAUCCCAAUGGAAAUUGCUUCGACAGGAACUGUUGAAGUACCUGGAAUACUUCUUGAUGGCUGUCAUUAAUGGGUGUCAGAUGUCUGUCCCACCCAACAGGACUGAAGCCAUGUGGGAAGAUUUUAUAACCUGCUUAAAGGAUCAAGAUCUGAUAUUUUCUGCAGCAUUUGAGGCCCAGUCUUGCUACCUCUUAACAAAAACUGCUGUUUCUAGACCUUUGUUUUUGGUUUUGGAUGACAAUUUUUAUUAUCAGAGUAUGAGAUAUGAAGUCUACCAGCUGGCUCGGAAAUAUUCAUUGGGCUUUUGCCAGCUCUUUUUAGAUUGUCCUCUUGAGACCUGUUUACAGAGGAAUGGCCAGAGGCCACAGGCACUGCCUCCUGAGACCAUCCACCUGAUGGGAAGAAAGCUAGAAAAGCCCAACCCUGAGAAAAAUGCUUGGGAACACAACAGCCUCACAAUUCCGAGUCCAGCAUGUGCUUCAGAGUCCAGGUAUUCCACUCAGUCAUCCCUCCCUGGGUGUUCUCCUGUGCCAGGUAUCAUGGUCAGUGCUUUAUCUGUGUUGGUUUAGUUAGUCCUCCCACAGGCGUUGGAGAGACCUUAUUCCCCCCUUUGUGUGGAAGCCAAAAGUGAAAUGGGAAAAUUUAGUUUGUCCAGAAAGAUUUGAACCCAAGUUUAUUUGCAAAUGUCUGCUUAUAACUGUUAGGAUUAUACUGUCUUCCAGUAGUUAGAGCAGGGAAUUCAGAGAACACAUCUUUGAUUCUCUUGCUAAAAUAGAUAGUCUAAAUAGGUUGCCUGGUAGUUUUCUUAUAGAAAGAGAUCUGUGAAAGAGUGCAUCUGGUACUGGGUCCUAUUUGCCUUAGAGCUUACCAUAGUUACACUGCUUUUGUAUAUGUGAGGCUUGUAGGCUAUGCUGUCUAAUGCAUUUCAUUCAUUACGUAUGUCUUGAGAGUUCUAGAGCAGCAUAUUUCUAGCAGAAACUUUGCUGGCGAUGGAAAUGUUCUAUAUUUGCACUAAUAUGGUAGCUGCUAGCCACAUUUGACUAUUGAGCCCUUAAAAGUAGCUAGUAUAACUGAUGACCUGAAUUUUUUUGUUUAACUUAUUAAACUUAAGUAGCCUCAUGUGGCCAGUGGUUAUUGUAUUGGACAGCACAGUUCUAGAGGUAUAUUGCCUGCAUUUCCUUAGUUCCUGCAUAUUGUCCACGAGGGAUUGGUAUCAGCUCACUGCAGGCUUGACCUCCUGGGCUCAAGCAAUUCUCCUGUCUCAGUCCCCUAAGUAACUGGAACUACAGGCCCACACUGCCAAGCCCAGCUAAUUUUUUAAUUUGUUGUAGUGACAGGGUCUCACUAUGUUGCCCAGGCUGGUCUGAAACUCGUGGCCUCAAGCAAUUCUUCCAACUUGACCUCCCAAAUUGCUGGGAUUACGAGCAUGAGCUACCACCCCUGGCUAAUAUUUUCUUAAAUUUUGGGUUACAUUGGGAACAGUGUCUAUAAUUCCUUUUGAAAUUCUUUUUAGGAAUCUUAUCUUAAGGUUAUAGUUCCCUUAAAAAAAUAUUUGCUAUGCUUUACCUCUUUUAAGACUGUAAACAAGCUGGGUGCAGUGGCUCACACCUGUGAUCCCAGCACUUGGGAGGCCAAGAAGGGAGGAUCACUUGAACCCAAGAGUUUGAGGUUGCAGUUGAGCUAUGAUAACGCCACUGCGCUCCAGCCUGGGUGACAGUGAAACCCUGUCUCUAAACAAACAGACUAAAUAGAACAAAAGGGCAUGGAUAUGAAAAUUAGCUAGUGAUCACUGGCUGAAUAGUCACUAAAACUCAAAUUUUCUCCCAGUUCUGAACACUUUAUAUAUAUGGUCUCAUUCAGUCCUCACAACCACCUUUUAAGGGUAGAAACGAUUAUCCCCAUUUUAUAGAUGGGAUAACUGAGGCCCAGAUAAGUAAAGUAAUAUACCCAGGUAGGAAGUGGCAUAGCCAAGAUCUGGACCCAGUGGGAUCGCACUCACUCCAGAACCUGGGCUCUUUUCAGUGUGAGGAAGAUCAUCUUGAGGUUGAGCUUUAACUUGAUGAGCUCACUCGCUUAAAACUUUUUAGUGCGACUUCCAUAAUCUGAGUAAAAUUCAAACUCCUUACCCUAACUUAUGUGAUCUAACCCAGAUUAAUUCUCCAACUUCAUAUUCUGCCACUCUCCCUCCUGGCUUCUUUUCAGCCUUUCUCUGUUGCACGAACACAAGGAGCUUGUUCUUGACCUGGGGCCCUUGCACUUGCUGCCCCUCUGCCCUUCCCACGUUCUUAUACUUGACUGCCUUCACUGACCAUCUUAACUGAAGCAAAGAACAUUAGUUGAGCUACCCUGUCACUCUUAUCAUUGUCACUUUAUUGUCUUUGCUCACUUAUCUACUUACCACCGUCUGAAAUUAUUUUUUGCUUUAUUUAACUGUUUAUCUGUCUCUAUUACAUUAUCUGCCUUGGCAAAGGCAAGGAUCUUGCUACACCCCCAGCUCAGCAUAUGGUUGUACAGUAUUUUUCAUAUAAGACGUUCAAUAAAUAUUUGUUAAAUCAAUGAAUUAAUUCUACCUGAAACCUUCAUGGACACUUGCUCAGUGAGAAACUUUGCUCAUCCAUAUCCAGUAAAUAAGCGGGAGCCAGAAAGUAAUGACCAGGCAUCUUUCCAUAGAGAAUAAAGUUGAGCUCUUGUGGCCCCCAGUUCAGCCUUAAGAGGGGAAAAGAGAAUGACUUUCCAAAGCUUAUUGACAUGAGUCUUAGGAAACUGGUAUUUUUUAAUGAGGGGUCCUUAGCUUAUCAUUUGUUUUGAGCUACUGCAUUUGGAUUUUCUACGUGGAAGCUAGCUUCUAAAUCGUUUAGUUUUUUUCCUUUUGUUAAGGAUCUUGGGUUAUAGCAGUUUUAUUCCUCUAGAAUUCAGUUUAAUAUUCACAAAUACAAGUUCCUUAAAAGUCAGAUGUUGGCCAGGCGUGGUGGCUCACGCCUGGAAUCCCAGCACUUUGGGAGGCUGAGGCAGGCGGAUCACGAGGUCAAGAGAUCUAGACCAUCCUGGCUAACACGGUGAAACCCCAUCUCUACUAAAAAAUACAAAAAAUUAGCCGGGCGUGGUGGCAGGCGCCUGUAGUCCCAGCUACUCAGGAGGCUGAGGCAGGAGAAUGGCGUGAACCCGGGAAGCAGAGCUUGCAGUGAGCAGAGAUCACGCCACUGCACUCCAGCCUGGGUGACAGAGCAAGACUCCAAGACUCCAUCUCAAAAAAAAAAAAAAAAAAAAA
rnacentral:sRNA from 1 species